UAGGGAAUCUUCGGCAAUGGGGGGAACCCUGACCGAGCAACGCCGCGUGAGUGAAGAAGGUUUUCGGAUCGUAAAGCUCUGUUGUAAGAGAAGAACGGGUGUGAGAGUGGAAAGUUCACACUAUGACGGUAUCUUACCAGAAAGGGACGGCUAACUACGUG
rnacentral:rRNA from 1 species